GCUUCACCGUCACGGCUACGGUUCCGGCUUUCUCGCUCACGUUGUAGCUGAGGACAAAUCAGAGGGACGGAGACGUUAUUCUACAUUUUCACUACAAAAACACAAAAUCUUGCCAAUGAUGCAGUACCUCUUGUGCUCAAAGCUGAUCAGAGACCACUGGAUGUGGAAGACGUUGUCGCUGACCACGUUGGGUUUGCUGUCUUUCACCAGAAACUUGAAGGUGUCCAUGGUUUCCUGGAUGUUCUCCUGACGCAGCAGGUUAUAAAGGAGGUGGAGGAGAACUAAAUACCCAAUCCUGCACCGAUAAAGACGAUAUCAGAAGAUUUUUAUUUUUGUUUGUGUUUUCUGCUUGAACUCUUGGAUUAUAUCAGUGUGGAUAACUUUAGGAUCAAACUGAACAAAUGUAAGAGUUUGACUCUUAUAACAAGAAAAACAAAUAAUUUCAUGAUGGUAGGUUGGUUUUUGAAAUAAUAAAUCCUUAAAGUUUGAGAAGUGACUAAUUUCUGAGGCUGUUGCUUUUAAUUUCAUGCUUUUACUGGACAGAAAAAGAAACAAAAAUAUUGUGAUUGCUUAACUUCCUAAUUCUUCCUAAAUCAAAUAUCUGAAAAAUCUGCAAAUAGCAGCUAAUUUGGCUCCAUUUCUUUCUUGGCAGGUAUUUCUGGCUUCAGUAUAAAAAUGGAACUAACUUUGCAUUUCCUCCAAAAUAAUUACUUUAUAAUUUGCCUCCUCUGGCUUUUUUCCAUCACUUCCAAUCCAAAUGAGUAAGAAUAUCUUUGCUGGCUGAUAUUUUCUGCUCACCGAUUCCUCCCAAAGGAGGCUGGAGAAAAUAUAAAACCUUAACUAACGGCGAAUGAAGACGCAUAAACGCUAAAAUGACCUUCAGGACGCCGAGGGCAACAUGCAGCUGGAAAAAAACAACACAAACACACACACCAAAGUGCUUUUCUGUCCUCGGAGCUGAACACUGGAGUUUCUCUCCGGCCUGAAGGAUCAACAUCUCAUAAUAAAAACAGGCUGACACUGAUUCCAGGCUGCAGCCUGAAGCUGAACAUGACACAAACUCUGAAUAAGAACCCUGCUGAUUGAAAGUCAAAAUUAACUGACUAAACAUGGAAACCUGGAGGAAAGACGCAGCUGAAGAGCAUCUGAAGUCCUGAACAGAGAAUAAAUACUCUGAAAGUCCUGCAUGAAGAACCACACAGUAAAUAAACAGUAAAGUAUCAGGAUAUUAACUUACAACUCAAACUAAGGAUGAUUUCACUCUGUGACAGGCCUGGACAGAAGGGGGCAGCAAUAAAACAUGAAACUGUAGUAAA